rnacentral:snoRNA from 1 species
CCCUUUGAUGUUGAGGCAUUGGUUUGGUACAUUUUUACUAACUUGGACAUAGAAUAUAACCAUAUUGUUUCUAAAGUUCUUGCUCGUAUUUAACCAAUUUUAGUUGGAGAACUUCACUCGCAAUUACUUAGCUACAAGC